rnacentral:ncRNA from 1 species
ACCUGCCCGGUGCUGUGAGGUGAAUAGGAGAGGCAAGUGUGCUUGGAAAGCCCUAGUGAACGGCGGCAGUCACUCAAUCUGGUCUAAGGUAGCGAAAUCCCUUGACGUAGAAUCCAACGUCCUGCAUGGUUGGU